ACGGCCGCGGGAUUCUCCACCGUGCAAAGGUAGCAUAAUCACUUGUCUCCUAAAUAGAGACUAGUAUGAACGGCCAAAUGAAGAUUUACCUGUCUCUUGAAGCCUAUCUAUGAAACUGAUCUUUCAGUACAAAAGCUGAAAUUUAAACACAAGACGAAAAGACCCUGUGGAACUUAAAGCCACAGCCAACAAAAUGGACCUAUUGCUUUUAGUUGGGGCAACUUUGGAAAAAAACAAAACUUCCAAUUAACUAUCUAGGUAGACAUGCCGACAUAUAAUAAAUUAGAUCCAGUACUACUGAUUAAAGAAAAAAGCUACCCCAGGGAUAACAGCGCCAUCCCCUCUUAGAGCCCCCAUCGACGAGCGGGGUUUACGACCU
rnacentral:rRNA from 1 species